UGGGGAAUCUUGCGCAAUGGGCGAAAGCCUGACGCAGCGACGCCGCGUGGGGGAUGAAGGCCCUCGGGUUGUAAACCCCUUUCGGCAGGGAAGAAGCCGCAAGGUGACGGUACCUGCAGAAGAAGCCCCGGCCAACUACGUGCCAGCAGCCGCGGUAAGACGUAGGGGGCGAGCGUUGUCCGGAUUUAUUGGGCGUAAAGCGCGCGUAGGCGGCCGCAUAAGUCGGGUGUGAAAACCCGGGGCUCAACCCCGGGCCUGCAUUCGAUACUGUGCGGCUCGAGGCAGGUAGGGGAGAGUGGAAUUCCUGGUGUAGCGGUGAAAUGCGCAGAUAUCAGGAGGAACACCGGUGGCGAAGGCGGCUCUCUGGACCUGUCCUGACGCUCAGGCGCGAAAGCUAGGGGAGCAAACAG
rnacentral:rRNA from 1 species